GUGGAGUGUGGCAGCGAUAGAUUGAGCGGUGGUCGCGGGUUGCAGUGGAUCUAGUGGUGUCGCGUUGCAGGUUUCUAUAGGUGGUGGUUGCGUCGCAGGUUGCUGUAGGUGGUGGUCGCGUCGCGAGUUGCUGCAGGUGGUGGCGUCGCGGGUUGCUGCAAGUGGUGGCGUCGCGGUGGUGCGUUGCGGUGGUCGCGUCGGAGUGUUCGUCGGACUCGUGGGUUGUUGCUGCUCAUCAUAUAAGG
rnacentral:lncRNA from 1 species